AGUCCCUGCCCCAGUGGAGCUUACAAUCUAAGGCCCCAAUCUAAGGAGAUUGUAAGCUCCACUGGGGCAGGGACU
rnacentral:pre_miRNA from 1 species